AGUGGAUGGGGAGCAACCUAGUUGUGCGUGUGUAAAGGUAGUGCCAAGAAAAGCGAUGAUCAUGUUGAAAAUCAAUUCCCGGUACCCGAAACCGACACAGGUGGGCAAGUAGAGAAUACUAAGGGGCGCGAGGUAACUCUCUCCAAGGAACUCGGCAAAAUGACCCCGUAACUUAGGGAGAAGGGGUGCCACCGAGAGGUGGUCGCAGUGAAGAGGCCCAGGCGACUGUUUAGCAAAAACAUAGGUCUCUGCAAACUCGAAAGAGGAGGUAUAGGGGCUGACGCCUGCCCAGUGCCGGAAGGUUAAAGAAGUUGGUCAGUCUUAGGAUGAAGCUAGCGACUGAAGCCCCGGUGAACGGCGGCCGUAACUAUAACGGUCCUAAGGUAGCGAAAUUCCUUGUCGGGUAAGUUCCGACCCGCACGAAAGGCGUAACGAUCUGGGCGCUGUCUCGGAGAGAGGCUCGGCGAAAUAGGAUUGUCUGUGAAGAUACGGACUACCUGCAUUUGGACAGAAAGACCCUAUGAAGCUUUACUAUAGCUUGGAAUUGUGUUCGGGCUUCCUGUGCGCAGGAUAGGUGGGAGGCGUAGAAGGUAUUCUUGUGGGGAUACUGGAGCCGACGGUGAGAUACCACUCUCAGGAGGCUAGAAUUCUAACUUAAUUAAGGACAGUUUCAGGUGGGUAGUUUGACUGGGGCGGUCGCCUCCAAAAAGGUAACGGAGGCGUACAAAGGUUCCCUCAGACUGGUUGGAAAUCAGUCGAAGAGUGCAAAGGCAGAAGGGAGCUUGACUGCGAGAAGUACAGUUCGAGCAGGGUGGAAACACGGUCUUAGUGAUCCGACGGUGCUGUGUGGAAGGGCCGUCGCUCAACGGAUAAAAGUUACUCUAGGAUAACAGGCUGAUCUCCCCCAAGAGUUCACAUCGACGGGGAGGUUUGGCACCUCGAUGUCGGCUCAUCGCAACCUGGGGCGGAAGUACGUCCCAAGGGUUGGGCUUUUCGCCCAUUAAAGCGGUACGUGAGCUGGGUUCAGAACGUCGUGAGACAGUUCGGUCCAUAUCCGAUGUAGGCGUGAGAAUAUUGAGAGGAGCCUUCCUUAGUACGAGAGGACCGGGAAGGACGCACCGCUGGUGUACCUGUUAUGAUGCCAAUUGUAAACGCAGGGUAGCCAAGUGCGGAGAGGAUAACCGCUGAAAGCAUCUAAGUGGGAAGCCCACCUCAAGAUGAGUAUUCUGGUGUAAGGUCACGGGAAGACGACCCGUAAAUAGGCACGAGGUGGAAGUGCAGAGAUGUAUGAAGCCGAAGUGUACUAGUAGACCGUCGGCUUGACC
rnacentral:rRNA from 1 species